UUGAACGCUGGCGGCAUGCCUUACACAUGCAAGUCGAACGGCAGCACGGGUGCUUGCACCUGGUGGCGAGUGGCGAACGGGUGAGUAAUACAUCGGAACAUGUCCUGUAGUGGGGGAUAGCCCGGCGAAAGCCGGAUUAAUACCGCAUACGAUCUACGGAUGAAAGCGGGGGACCUUCGGGCCUCGCGCUAUAGGGUUGGCCGAUGGCUGAUUAGCUAGUUGGUGGGGUAAAGGCCUACCAAGGCGACGAUCAGUAGCUGGUCUGAGAGGACGACCAGCCACACUGGGACUGAGACACGGCCCAGACUCCUACGGGAGGCAGCAGUGGGGAAUUUUGGACAAUGGGCGAAAGCCUGAUCCAGCAAUGCCGCGUGUGUGAAGAAGGCCUUCGGGUUGUAAAGCACUUUUGUCCGGAAAGAAAUCCUCGGCUCUAAUACAGUCGGGGGAUGACGGUACCGGAAGAAUAAGCACCGGCUAACUACGUG
rnacentral:rRNA from 1 species